GCCGAUCUGAUCCAAUCCGAUCCGAUACUUCGUGCGAAGCUGUUUGGUGUUGUGUUUGUAAGCUGCUGCCGUUGGAUGCUGGUCGCCUGCAAGCCUGGACAUGAGCAAAAGGCCUUCAAGACCUACAUCAACAAGAGGCUGCCUCUCGCAGCAGGCUGUGGGUGACACAGCCAGAAGGGUGACCCUUGCAGCUGCAAGGAAUGCGUUGGCAGAAAAGUGAUUGGAGGAGUACUGCAAGGUUACGCUUACAUGGUUCAUCUGCUCCGAGGUGUGGGAUUGCUGCCUGCUGAACGCCGAGGAUCGGCCACCCGUUUGGCUGACAUUCCCAAACCCGAUGCCAACUCUGGACACGAUGAGCACAUGCACCUGGCAACACGGACCGUCAGUCACUUCACCUACCACUGAGCCCGCCAACGGCGGGGCCGGAUAUAAACACCGACCGUCGACGAUUCCAGUCGGGCACGACACCGCUGCUAGGAUGGCCAGCUCACGCCCACUGUUUUUGCAGGUUAGUUAUUUGAAGGGCGCUGCGUCUUUCAAGACCAGCAACUACUGCUUAUUUGAGGUGUCGUGCCCGACGGAUCUCGUUGAUGUACUUAAACGAAUGCUAGCGUUUUCGGGUGAUGUGUUUUCCGCUCUACCUGUACUUUUGCUUGUACUUUCUGGGGAUGUUGAGCUAAACCCGGGCCCAAUGUCCAAGACGGAGGCGGAUUCCUUUGCUAUUAUAUUGGAAACAAUACGCAGACUAGAGGCAGCUGAUGUCGCUACUACGGAAAAAAUACUUAAACUUGAGGAAGGGCAGGCUGCUUUAGUUGCUGAACUAAACUACGUCAAAAAUGACCGUGCAGCUGCUUCAGAAACGGUGCGUCGACUUCAAGAAGCAAAUGCGACUUUGCGGGCCGAUCUAAAGGCAGCCCACGACAGGCAGUCUGCCGCAGAUAGCGAGGUCAAGCUGCUGAGUAUGAAGCUUUCUGCAGUGGAGUUGAGGACUUCACUCGAAUGCCCAGGUGGCCCGGACCCUGGCUCUCAUUCAUUGCGUAAAUUUUCUGAGCAGAUCGAAAAAAUUUCUUCGAGGUGUGAUGAAAACGAAAAUAGAAUGAGACGCUCAAACUUGCUGUUCUUUGGCAUAGAAGGUAAUGCUCGAGAAGACUGGGCUGCAUCGGAGCACAAGAUAAUUUCUUUCUGCUCAGAGAAACUUGGUAUCACUGUAACGGGCGCCCAGUUUGACAGAGUGCAUAGAAUGGGUAAGUUCGCUGAUGAAAAGCGCAGACCUAUUAUUGCUAAGCUAACAUAUUUUAAAGAUAAAGGACGCAUCUUGUCUUCUGCGCACAAACUAAAAGGUUCUGGUUUCUACGUUCGAGAGGACUUUUCAUUUUCUACACGACAAGCCAGAAAACAAUUGAUCGAUCACGCGAAAACACUAAAUAAACCAUUCAAACUUGCAGUUGACCGAUUGCGCAUUGAUAACAAAUCUUAUGCAUAUGAUGCCACAAAGCAUUCAGUUGUGGAAAUCAGCAGAUAGCUAGACCAAGACACAUGUGAAGCGCCGCUAACUCAUCGCAUUGCUACAUCGUUAACAAUAUCAUUCACUAAUAUUAGCAGCCUGAUGUCGAAACGCGAACUCGUCUCAUCUUAUCUUGAAGACUGCAACUGCACUAUUCUUGCUCUUGCCGAAACCUGGCUUUCCCCCGAGUUAGCCGAUCCUGAAAUUCUUCCCGUAAAACUAAGCUAUAAUAUUUAUCGCUGCGAUCGCUCAGAUAGAAGAGGUGGUGGUGUCCUCCUCGCUAUUAAAAAAACUAUCGCAUCUUAUAUUAUUGACACAUCUUCAGGUCUGGAGAUUGUCUGGGCCGCAUGCCGCUGCCGCUCUGCCAAAGUUUUGAUAGGCGUUUGUUACCGCCCUCCAAAUUACAGUCAUUGCUUCAUUGAUGAACUGCGCAGCAGCAUUGCUAAAGCCACCCAGUUCUGUCCAACUGAGUUCACAUACCUUAUAGGAGACUAAUUUUCCUCUCAUUGAUUGGCCAAACUUGUCGUCAUCCUGCAGUUUUUCAUCAGAAUUCAUUAGCCUAACAUUAGAUUAUAAUCUGUUCCAGAUCAUUAAAGAACCUACCCGUGGCUCUAACCUUUUAGAUCUUAUACUAACGCCCCAGAAACUAUAGAAGAAGUAACAUGCUCGGAUGGUUUCAGUGACAACAGAUUACUGAAUGUAUCCAUCAGUAUCCCAUUACCAUUUACAGGUAUCUUAAGACAAUUCGUGACCACAACAAAGGAAAUUAUGAAGUAAUCAUCACUGAGCUAGAAUCAUUUCUUGAACAUCAUUUCCUACCUUCGUUCCACACCAGGUCUGUUCAUGAUAACUGGGUCAUGUUCCGAGAUAAGUUAUGCGCAUUGGUUGAGCAGAACAUUCCUUUAAUCAGAAUAACUGAAGACAAAAACAAACCGUGGUUCACUAAGUCCCUUCAUCUACUCAGAAACAAAAAGAAAUGUUCAUACAGAACUGCAAAACGAACCGGCACCCCGUCAGCUUGGGAAAGGUACCUUAAAUGUUUAAGUUCUUACUGCUCCGCUCUCAAUGUAGCCAAAAAUAAAUAUUUUUCCCAAGACCUUCCUUCACUACUCAAAUCUAAUCCCAGAAAGUUCUGGCAAAUUUUAUCUCCUGAACGCAAUACUAAUGACAUCUCGUUACACAAUAAAGAAAACAACAUUCCUAUUCCUAACAGUGAGUGCGCUCAAGUUUUAUGCGAAGCAUAUUACGAGAGCUCAACCCAGCUCCUCAGGCGCGGCGGUGUCGCCUUGAAACCACGUGACACCGUGACGUCACGACAGAGGAGAAGUGGCUUUGGCUCAACUCUUGCAGGACGGGCUGGGUGGGAAUCGAACCAGGGUCUCCGGAGUGUGGGACGGAGACGCUACCACUGAGCCACGAGUACGAUGCUUCAAAGCGGUACAAAAGCGCCUCUAGUGAAUGCGGUGUUGCCUUAGAAACGAGCUGUUUCUAAGGCGUGCGUCUCUUGCUCAGGCGCACAUUUCGUUGCCGCGCCGAACGCUGCUUUGCUCGACGAUCACCGCGUCCAAUGCGGGGCGCGUAGUCGCUGCCCUGUAGCCCAUUGUCUUACACCCCUUGGCGGGUCGACGGGAACGCUGUCGCGUUCCACUCUUGAAGGCGAAGCAGUAAUGCAUGAGUUGUUUCUUCGUCUAGCCGAACCAAAUAUAGCCAAGCAACAGCAGUUCACCAGGCUAAACAGUGGUUCAACAACUAAAAUAAAGGCUAGUAUGCUUCGCAUCCUGGGCUUAACCUUACCUAAGCCACAGCCAUUUUUUAAUAAAUUUUUCUCAUCCGUAUUCACAAAAGAAAGUAUUACUAAUUUGCCCAUUGUUGCCGAACUAGAUUACCGGUACAUGGAACCUAUUAACAUUACUAUUGAUGGUAUUGUUCAACUUAUUAAUAACUGGAAGGUUUCAUCUUCAGCAGGUAUUGACAAUAUUAAUUCUAAAUUACUAAAAAAUACAGUAUCAAUAUCUAGCAAGUUUUUAUUUCACAUUUUUCAUCAAUCAUUAAUGACAGGUCAGAUACCCCAAGAUUGGAAAACAGCCAAAGUCAUACCCAUUUUCAAAGACGCUGACAAAAACUUAACUGAGAACUACCGACUGAUAUCACUAACGUGCAUAUGCUGCAAAAUGAUGGAACAUAUUAUUGCAUCUCAUAUUUACCAACAUCUAGAAUCGAACAACUUCUUUUUUCAUAAUCAACAUGGUUUCAGGAGAGGUUUGUCGUGCGAAACGCAACUGCUUGAAUUUACGACAGAUUUACAUUUUAACAUGGACUUAAACCUUCAAACUGACAGCAUCUUUCUAGAUUUUUCUAAAGCUUUUGACCGCGUAGCUCAUUGUCGCCUGUUUUUGAAGUUAUCAUCAUUAAAACUUAAUUCACUAACACUAGCCUGGCUUCGAAAUUUUCUUUCUAACAGGCAGCAGUUUACUUUCGCUAACAGCUUCUCCUCGCCCCUUUCAGAUGUUUCAUCCGGUGUACCACAAGGAAGCGUUCUUGGUCCCUUACUCUUUCUGAUAUACAUUAACGACAUACCCAAUAACUUAUCAUCAUGCAAGCGCAUUUUCGCUGACGACUGCAUUAUCUAUCGUUCUAUUAACGCCUCCGAUGACCACCUGAUCCUCCAAAAUGAUCUUAACGAAAUCACUAAUUGGUGUGACACCUGGCUAAUGACUCUAAACUCAUCAAAAUGUAAAGUGAUGUUCUUCACCCGCAAACGCAAUAACUUGGACUAUUCUUACUGUAUUAAAAAUGUCCCAUUAUCUCGGACCUCAUCAUUUAAAUAUCUAGGAGUUAAUCUUUCAACAAACCUCUCCUGGACUUCUCACAUUACUACCAUCUGUGCCAGUGCUUCUCGAUCACUGGGUUACCUGCGACGUAACCAUCGGAACUCACCUCCACUUAUCCGCAAACUGGCAUAUCAAACAUUUGUUCGCCCUCGACUUGUUCGCCGCUCCAAUCUGGUCUCCCCAUCAAAAUUACCUAAUUACCAUGCUGGAAUCAAUCCAAAAUAGAGCCACACGUUUCAUUUCCCGAAAUUAUGACUACCGUUCUAGCGUAACUCAAAUAAAGAUUCACCUUUCACUUCAGCUACUAAGUAAUCGUCGCGACAUAGCCCUUUUGUCAUUAUUUCAUAAAUACGCCCACCACACUAACAAACAUUCCUUACACCUAGAAACGUCAUCACACACGUCGCACAGAUUAUACAAUCAUCAUAGCUUCACGCGCAUCUAUGGUAAAACAGAAGCAUUUAACUCAUCUGCAAUUCCACGUGCCAUUCGGCUCUGGAACAACCUCCCCGACAACAUAGUUUUGGAAACUGACCGUGAUAAAUUCAAGUGCUCACUGAACUCGCUUAACCCAUGUUAACCAUUAAUAACACACUCACUGCUCUGUAUUAUUUCUUUGCCUUUUUCUUGCAGUGUUAUACGUUGUUACUAACUUAUAUUGUUUCUUUUUAUUGUAAUCAUAUGCAGCUUUAUGUAGCUAAUAUGUUUCAUGACUUUUAGGCUGUGCACUUGGCUGCUGUUUUCAUUUGUUAUUGUUGUUAAUUGUAUGUACUUGAUUGUAUGCCCCCCUUACUCAAUCCCCAAGAAGGGGCCUUGUAAGGUAUUUUACAAAUAAAAAAAUAAAAGUAUAACUGA